CCGCCCGCCCGACCAUCAGCCAGCGCCGCCCAGCACCCAGCAUGUCAGUUAGCCGCGAGGCUAACAAGACAUUUGGCCUGGGCAUUUGGGGGCGGCGUUUUUUGCCACCCCCUGGAAAAUGCCGCCCAAGGCAAAUGCCUUAUUUGCCUCGCGUCUAAAACGCCCCUGGGUAUAGCACAAUGAUAAAACACCUGCUCCUUCACACUGCAGUACAUCAGGGGGCAGGCCUUUCAAAGUGCAAUAAAUCAGACAGCUGCACCUUCACACUGCAAUACAUCAGUGGGCCAGUUCCUCCUGCAUUAAAUCAGGCAGCCACUCAUUGACAGGGCAAUACCCCAUUCAGCUGCUUCUUCACACUGUGGAAAAUAUCCAUAUAGUUAAAUAAUGCUGAAAUGCAAACCAGUAUAAUGCAACUGAUAUAUUGGAUAAGCUUGCUGUGUGGUAAUAGAAGGGUUAGUAGGCAAAAUUCCUGUGAUCAGCAAUAUUUUACUUGUUGCUUGCUGCCAAAUAUAGUUUUUAUUUGUUACCCCUCAACAAAUGUUACUGCACCCCCCGCAAGAUAAAAGCUUACAAAGGUUAUGUGUAUUGUAUCGUAUAUAUAAAAUUGUAGAAAGGGGAUAGUAACUAAGCAUUCCUUUGUAACUGAUAACUCAUAUUUAUGUAAAAUUUCAAGCUCUCUGUCUCUCAGAAUCAGUUUUGACUACUUUUCUCUCUAUUGCAAUAAAGGUGUCAUCCUAUACUUCCAAUA